rnacentral:rRNA from 1 species
UUCGGUUAAGUUAUGAAGGGCGCACGGUGGAUGCCUUGGCACUAGGAGCCGACGAAGGACGGGACUAACACCGAUAUGCUUUGGGGAGCUGUAAGUGAGCUUUGAUCCAGAGAUUUCCGAAUGGGGGAACCCAUUGUUCGUAAUGGAACAAUAUCCUUACUUGAAUACAUAGAGUAUGGAAGGCAG